CCGGCUGGCCCCUCCACAGUCUAUGGUGACCAAAGAUUUGACAGUGAGCAAGUUUAUUUCGCAUGGUCCGUUCUGUCCCUCUCUAUACAGCCAAUGUUUGCUAUGUGAAAAAGAACAAUCAAUAGCUAUUAAGACUGCCUGAAUGGGUCUUGUAUGUGUUUGACAUGCCGCCUAAACAGCUUGCCUUGAAGUGUGUAGAGUAUGGAGAGGAAGGAGCGCUAGGCUGUUUCUGUUGACAUUUUGUUUUGCGUUUAUUACAAAAGCUGAAUGGGAUUUAUUAAUGUUUUUCAGAAAUAUGAAGCAGAGCCUUUUCCUACAUCAUGGAGUAGCAUUGAAAGCACCUUGCACCUUGCAUUGCAUCUGUGUAUGUAAAAUGUUACUCCAUUGUAGGUAAGAUUUCUUGGGUUGUUGUUUUUUUAAAGCUAUUUCUCUUUAGGCAUUUUCAUGUUUAUAUGACAGGAAAGUCUGGAAAGAUAAGCGAUAGUUUGUCCUGAAAGAGCAGUUGGCUGGUUUUUAACCAACACUGUGUGUCAGAGGCAGUGGCUUAAACUUCUGGACCAACUGAGGAGGCUUUGGAUUGAUCUUCAUUGUACUUAUGUGUAACUGAAUGUUGCCUUGCAUUUGUUUUUACACAGGUUCUCAUUGUUACGCGGAAUUGCUUCUCAGUCAACUUACCUGGUUAAAUAAAGUGAUCAACAAUCGAAGCCUGCUCAGAAGGCCUGCUAAACCCUCAGCACCUCAGCCACCUGCCCCCCAACUCCAUUGGCUCUGUCCAGGAGGACGUUGAUAGGAUAUGAGAGGUGUGGCGGCCAUUGCUGCCCUUCAUUGUGAGCUGGCGCCUGCAGUACGAGCAGAACUGCCAGACCAGACACUGAUGUGGGUUGACACUGCAUCCAGGAGGUGAGGAGACUCUUUUCUUUUGCUCUUUUUCUCGCCUCCUGACAAGUAGAAAGAAGGCCUUUUACCAGACAGGCCCCGCCCUUUUAUGCUUGAACUGGUCCUAGGUCUCAGCCUCUACUUUCCCCUCUCCUCCUUUUCUCCUCCUUUUCUCCUCCUUUGUCCUCCCCCCUUUUAUUUUCCUCCUAGAGAAGCAUAACAAGAGCCAAGAUGGACAUUAAAUCCCUAGAGACAGUCUGUCUUUUUCCUCUCCCUAUUUUAAAUCAAAUGUAAGUCUUUAUACGAAGAGGCAAUCAUGCAACUUGCAGCACAAGACCAGGAAAAGUAGAUGGCAGUAGACCCUGCAACAUAUUGAGCCCGUUAGCUCCCCCUGAGGCUGAAACACUGUCAAAUAGUGACCCCUUUUCACCCUUAGGCUAUGACCACACUCAAUAGUUAAUCUGAGUACCAAUACUUUAUCCAUUAUUAAUCCUGGAUCCAUUCAUUUUAUAAUACCUAAUGUUUACAGGGGGCUGCUAGGUGCAACAGACUAUGCCAUUCCUGCUUCCUGGUGAAAGAAAACGGCAAAUGAUACAAGUGACCGCUGUUUUUGUCCUAAAACUGUGAAGGUUUUCAGGUUGGUCUGUAUGGUAUAUACCAGCAAACAUAUGGCUUUGUUGACAAUUUUCCCAAUGCAGAUGUGUCUCUUUGCCAUACCUGUCACAAAUGAUGUGUGACAAAAAUCACCAAGAAGGGGCGUGAGAGCACUACCCACAUCAGGAAGUACUUGAUCCGAAAGGAUUUCAUUGGAUAAGAACAAGAAGACUUUUGCAUGGGUGUAGCAGGAGCGUUAUUGGAAUAUAAUUAAUCGAUUCAUCUCCCUCUACGAUCGCCACAGGGGCACACGGACUCCCCGAUCCUCUUUAAUGGAACAGCUAAUGACAAGCUCCAUUAGUUUAAUGUCUGCUUUUAUCGUCCUCCUCUCUUUAGAUGACUGCAGCGUUUCAUUAGCCACGACUGACUCAUAUCUCACUUUAGCAACCCGGAGGAAAUUGUGAAGGGAUUAAUUUUGUGAGGGACCCCCAGCUCCAUCCUUCCCCCCAUCCCCGCUCCAUCUUCAUCCCCCCUCUCUCUUCCAGCUCCCAGCCGGAGACCCAGGAGGAAUAGUGUCUUUGUUGCCCUGCCGUUUUCAGACUUGAAGAACAAGAGAAGUUUAAUCCUCAUUGUCCAGGAGACUGGGGGGGUUCGCCG
ensembl:lncRNA